AACAAACGCUGGCGGCGUGCCUAAUACAUGCAAGUCGAACGGGAAAAGGCUUCGGCCGAGUACUAGUGGCGCACGGGUGAGUAAUACGUUGAUAAUCUGCCUUAAGGUGGGGAAUAACCAGUCGAAAGACUGGCUAAUACCGCAUAAGACCACAGAAUCCAAGGAUUCAGAGGUUAAAGGAGCAAUCCGCCAUAAGAUGAGUCAAUGUGGGAUUAGCUAGUUGGUGAGGUAAUGGCUCACCAAGGCUUUGAUCCCUAGCUGGUCUGAGAGGAUGAGCAGCCACACUGUAACUGAGAUACGGUCCAGACUCCUACGGGAGGCAGCAGUAGGGAAUAUUGCACAAUGGGGGAAACCCUGAUGCAGCGACGCCGCGUGAGUGAUGAAGGCCUUCGGGUCGUAAAGCUCUGUCGUAUGGGAAUAAUAAAUGAAUGUACCAUGCAAGAAAGGGUCGGCUAACUUCGUGCCAGCAGCCGCGGUAA
rnacentral:rRNA from 1 species